GUCCAGAGUACAAUGAAAUUGGAAUUUAGGUCUAUAAAUUCCACCAGCACAGUUAUUCCUGAUCAUGUUGCAUGAGGUGGGCUAUUAUGUAGGAACACAGUCCCAUGUGCAGUGCUGAUAUUUCAGAGAGAAUAACCAUCGUUAAGGCAUUUGGCACUUUGGGAAUUGAGAGAACAUAGAGGUUCACUUUUUGCUUUAUCUGCUAGAGAAGAGUCACCACAUGACUAAAUUUGGUCCCAUUUGAAAUCUGUGCAAAUGUUCGCAUCCAUUCUUUUCUUGAUCUCAGACAUUUCUGCAUUAUUUUUAACCACAAUCCUAAAGCAUUAGAAGCAAACAAUGAUCUGUGUAAACAAAAUAAAGGAACUUGGUAAUUUUAUUAUAUUGUUUCAAUAAAGUUAAGGUAAAAUAAGAAGAAAAGUUGAUCUAAGGUGUAGAGUAUAGAAUGUAAAUAUUGAAGCACAUCUUGUGCUUGAUCACCAAAAUUAAGAAUAAAAAUUAGUUGGUUAAGUCAUAACUUAUUUUGCAUACAUACUUUAGAAUCUUUGAGAAGCGCUUUUAUGCACCAGAUCAUCCUAUAAUCCAGUAUUAUAUAAUCCAAUAUUAUAAUGCUAGAAUAAUCCAUUUUUGCUGGCUUCAGUAUAUUAUCUAUAGAUUAUUAAAGUUUUUAUACAACUAUGUGUUUCAAAAAUUGCAUGCAUAUGGCAAAUCCUGUUUUGAACUAGAUGUCAGUGUAGGUCUUGGGUAGUAUUAUUAAUAAUUUGGUAAUGAUGUCAGUGAGGAUGAACAGAAGAAAGAAAAUUCAGGUAAUUGGCCAAAAAAUAGUAAGGAUUUUGUAAUGCAACCCUGAAAAACAAAUAAAGUGGAAUAAUUUAAAAUGCACUAGAUUCUGAGGAAUUAAUCUUAUCUUUCCAGGUCUUCUCCAGAGUGCU